ensembl:lncRNA
GGGCUCUGGGGUCCCAUUGAGAUCCCACUGGUGUCUAUGGGGUCACACUGGGGGGCUAUGGGGUCUGUGGGUCCCACUGAUCCUAUAGGGCUCUAUGGCUCCCAUUGAUUCCUAUGGCUCCCAUUGAUUCCCAUGGGGCUCCCAUUGAUUCCCAUGGGGCUCCCAUUGAUUCCCAUGGGGCUCCCAUUGAUUCCCAUGGGGCUCUAUGGCUCUCAUUGCUCCCUAUGGCUCCCAUUCAUUCCUAUGGCUCCCAUUGAUUCAUAUGGUGCUCUAUGGCUCCCAUUGUUCCCUAUGGGGCUCCCAUUGUUCCCUAUGGGGCUCCCAUUGUUCCCUAUGGGGCUCCCAUUGCUCCCUAUGGCUCCCAUUCAUUCCUAUGGGGCUCUAUAGCUCCCAUUGCUCCCUAUGGCUCUCAUUCAUUCCUACGGGGCUCUAUGGCUCCCAUUGAUUCCUAUGGGGCUCUAUGGCUCCCAUUGUUCCCUAUGGGGCUCCCAUUCAUUCCUAUGGGGCUCCCAUUGCUCCCUAUGGGGCUCCCAUUGAUUCCUAUGGGGCUCCUAUUGCUCCCUAUGGCUCCCAUUGUUCCCUAUGGCUCCCAUUGCUCCCUAUGGGGCUCAAUGGCUCCCAUUGCUCGCUAUGGGGCUCUCACACCACACGACGACGCUGACGGGCGCGGCACGGACGGUUCCCGCCUCGUUGGACGCUGCGCAGCGAUAGGUCCCCGCCCGAGAAGGCUCCGCCUCAAAACUGAGCUCCGGACCAAUGGUGGCUUCCGACGGCUGGUCCAAGCGUUCCCAUUGGAUGGUGGGCGUCGGGUGGGCGGGGCCGACGCGGCAGAACAGGGUGACACGUGACUUCUCCUGAGCCGGAAGUGGCGUCAGCGGCGUCACGGCGACGGAGCGUGGAGGGUCUGCGGGGGGGGAGGGGAGGGGGUUGGGUACCCCAUAAGUGCCCCAUAGCGGCCCCAUAACUGCCCCAUAGGGACCCCAUAAAGACCCCGUAGAGACCCACAAGGACUCAUAGAGACCCAUAGGGACCCAAAGGGACCCCAUAGAGACCCAUAGAGAUCCACAAAGACCCCAUAGAGACCCAUGGAGACCCCAUAGUUCCCCAUAUGGACCCCAUAGAGACCCCAUAAUUCCCCAUAUAGACCCCAUGAAGACCCAUAAAGACCCCAUAGUUCCCUAUAUUGACCCCAUAGAACCCCAUAGAGACCCAUAGAGACCCCAUAAUUCCCCAUAUAGACCCCAUAGAGACCUAUAGAGACCCAUAGAGACCAAUAGGGACCCAUAGGGAUGCAUAGGGACCCACAGAGACCCAUAGGGACCCCAUAGAGACCCAUAGAAACCCAUAGAGCCCCAUAGGAACCCAUAGAGACCCAUAAAGACCCCAUAGUUCCCCAUAUAGACGCCAUAGUUUCCCAUAGAAACCCAUAGAGACCCCAUAAUUCUCCAUAUAGACCCCAUAGUUCCCCAUAGAGACCCAUAGAGACCCACAGAGACCCCAUAGAGACCCCAUAACUCCCCAUAUAGACCCCAUAGUUCCCCAUAGAGACCCCAUACUUCCCCAUAGACACCCCAUAGAGACCCCAUUGAGACCCCAUAGGGACCCCAUAAUUCCCCAUAUAGACCCCAUAUAGACCCACAGCGACCCCAUACUUCCCCAUAGACACCCCAUAGAGACCCCAUAGU